CAGUUUCUUUAAAUAAAUAACUUAGACAGAAUUUAUGGUUCAGUAUUUUUAUGUGAACUGAAUAUUUGGGUUUUCAUGAAUGUAAUAAAGAAUUUGUGAAUUUUUGUGAAAUGAAAAUGGUUUUCUACCUCUCGUGGUAGCGAGUUUUAAAAGGAAAAGGUUUCGUGUAGAAAACGAUUUUUAAAACGGUUUUCUUGGUUUUCAUGACUCUAUGUUUUAAAACGAGUUUCCGGGUAGGAAAUAUUUUAAACUAAUAGUUGUGGAUUUAUGAAUAACUGUCACGACCCGCGACCACCCGCCUAUUUGGCCGAGGUCGCGGCACCGACAGCGCCGAACGGACAGGGUUUCCCCCGUACUGCGGACGGAGUCUCCCCUGUGCGUUCAAGGCAUCGCAAUCAAUACAAUACAAAGGUUCCAACCAGGAACAGUACUUAACAACAGAUUGCAUAAGGAAGGUAUCAACAACAUAACACAUCCUAUGUUAUUACAUACAUUCACAUUCAUAUAUUUUCCAUCACAGUUUUCAUUUGAUUCCUCCAAAUACAAUCUAAGUUAUUACAUCAUUUACUUAUUACAGUUUGAUACAUA
rnacentral:lncRNA from 1 species